UUCUCAGUCCAGAGCUACAAGGUUUGGAGAAGAUUUAAGUUGUGUACUCUUGGCGAUGACAAGAAAUGGGGAUAAACUGAGAAGGCUGGGACAAGGAGUCACAAAUUCCAAUGUGAAGGUCGUAUGAAAAGAUGCUCCAAAUCACUACUGAUCAGAGAAAUGCAAAUUAAGACAACUCUGAGACACCACUGUCAGAGUGGCUAAGAUGACAGGAAAAGAUAAUGAUAAAUGUUGGAGGGGAUGUGGAAAAACUGGAACACUGAUACAUUGUUGGUGGAAUUGUGAACAGAUCCAACCAUUCUGGAGAGCAAUUUGGAAAUAUGCUCAAAAAGUUAUCAAACUGCAUACCUUUUUAUCCAGCAGUAUUACUACUGG